CGAUUUGGAGGAUGUUUAGGAGCGGAAGUUUUUAUAACUAUAAGCAGCGCGUAUUAGUUACGGCGAAUUUGGAUAAAGAGCUGUGACGUCCAGAAAGCCAUACAGACCAGGAAUCCUGCAAAGGAGUCAAGAGGAUUAGAGCUGCUCCAAUGUACCCAUGAGAAGCGGAAACAGGAUUGACCGAUCGCAGCCCUGGAACAGACUCAAGAGGAAGUUGCAGGAAAAAGGCGUCAACAUCACCUCAAGCUGCAACCCUAAUGCAAGGCAAUUAAAACAGCAGGCAUUUUCAAAUUUAUUUCACAUAAAACCUAGAAUAAAAAACCUUCAUUGUUAACAUUUUA